ensembl:lncRNA
AUGGGACCCAAAGGGGACUCAAUGGGACCCAAAUGGGACCCAAAGGGAGUGAAUGGGACCCAAAGGGGACUCAAUGGGACCCAAAUGAGACCCAAAGGGAGUCAAUGGGACCCAAAGGGGACUCAAGGGGACUCAAUGGGAACCCAAUGGAACCCAAUGGGACCCAAAGGGAGUCAAUGGGACCCAAAGGGGACUCAAUGGGACACAAAGGGGACCCAAAGGGACUCAAUGGAACCCAAUGGGACCCAAAGGGACCCGCAGCGCCCUCACGGGUACCGGUGCCCCCCCCGCAGGCCCCGCGGCCCCAGCCCCACAGCAUCCCUGGGGCCAGGCUCUGGCCUCCCUGCUGCGGCUCCUGAACCUGCUCCCGAGCGCCCCCUUCGGGACAGCGGCGGAAACAGCGGCCGGAUCUGCGGGACCCGCACGGCAGGGGCUGGGGGCACCGGGGACGGGGACACAGGGACAAGGGGCACACGGACAACGGGAAUGGAUACAGGGACAAGGGACAGGGAUACAGGGACAAGGGACAGGGAUACAGGGACAAGGGGCAGGGACACAUGGAGCAGGGACGGGGAUACAGGGAGCAGGGACACAUGGAGCAGGGACGGGGAUACAGGGACAAGGGACGGGGACACAGGGACAACGGGAAUGGAUACAGGGGACAGGGACAGGGAUACAGGGACAAGGGACAGGGACACAUGGAGCAGGGACAGGGAUACAGGGAGCAGGGGCACUGGGACAACGGGAAUGGACACAGGGAAUAGGGGCAGGGAUACAUGGAGCAGGGACAGGGAUACAGGGACAACGGGAAUGGAUACAGGGAAUAGGGGCAGGGAUACAGGGAGCAGGUACAGGGAUACAGGGACAACGGGAAUGGACACAGGGACAAGGGACAGGGAUACAGGGAAUAGGGGCAGAGAUACAGGGACAAGGGACAGGGCUACAUGGAGGACAAGGGACACAUGGAGCAGGGGCAGGGAUACAGGGACAAGGGACAGGGGUACAGGGACAACGGGAAUGGAUACAGGGACAAGGGACAGGGACACAUGGAGCAGGGACAGGGAUACAGGGAGCAGGAACAGGGACACAGGGACAAGGGACAGGGAUACAGGGGACAGGGACACAUGGAGCAGGGACAGGGAUACAGGGAGCACGGGAAUGGAUGCAGGGACAAGGGACAGGGACACACGGACAACGGGAAUGGAUACAGGGACAAGGAACAGGGGCACAGGGACAACGGGAACGACCCCAAGGAGCAGGGAUAUGGACACAGGGACACAGAGAACUUCCUCAAGGAGCAGGGACAUGGACACAGGGAGCAGGGACAUGGACACAGGGAGCAGCAGAACCAGCCCAUGGAGCAGGACCAUGGACACAGGGAGCAGCAGAACCAGCCCAUGGAGCAGGAUCACAGCUCCAGGCACUGGGAGCACAUCCGCAGGGCCAAGGGGCUCAGAUCCCAGCACAAGCACCAUGGACACAGGGACAAAGGGAACGUCCCCAAGGGCCAUUCCAAGGCCCCCAGGCCCAGGGGGGGCCGCGGAGCUCGAGUGA